CUUUUGGGACCAGGAGAACUUAAUCGCGCUCUUCUCAGCUUUUGGGCAGCGGAAGAAUAGGAGUAGCGAAUCCUCUCCGCCACCCGCCUAGUGAUACAGGAAAAUAGACACUCCCAACCUGAACGAUACCUGGGAUGAUACCUGCCUCUUAGGUGCUGGGAUUACAGGUGUGUACCACGACGCCCAGUUUUGCACUGCUCCCACCCUGGAAGAGGAGAAAAGGAUUCCACAGUUCUGAGCACCGUGGGGAAUCGAACUCAUGACUUGCACUUGCCAGGCAGGCACUUAUGCCACUGAGCUAUAUCUCCAGCUGUCUCUAUGGAUCGAUGAGAAGCUAAAGAGUUCAAUCAAGGCACAUGAGGAUGGCUGACUUGUGAAAGACAGAACCAGAACUCAGGCCCCGGCAAUGGAACUCGUGUAUAUAUGGCAGAGGCUCAGAAUUUCUGAAAUCGGCUGCGAUCUCACGGCCAGGCUGUGGGAGAAGGAAGGGCCUGGACGCUUUGCUGCCUGUCCACAUCUCAUCCGGUGGACCUCCGACCUUCUUCUGGUGUACAGACAAAGGGUGGGACUGGACCUGCUUGGAAAGCACCUAACCUGGGACAAGUACAAACAAAACUGCUAAAUAAUAAAUGCGCUGGCACCCUGGCAGGACUCUCUCCGGAGCACGGGCAGGGGCAAUCGGACCUUUCUCUGCGUAUCACAUGGGGAUCAGGCCGCUUCUGGCUGAUUAUUGUUUACUUAUUCAAGCCUGCGAUGGUAUCACCUGUGAGCCCGCAGCCGUGGACCAGCAACCAGGAUGAGCGCGACAGCAUGACGGCAUUCGAAAGGCAGGAGCCCGGAGCGACAGGAACUGGUAAACCAGGCGCAGGGCAGGUCUGUGGGGACGGGGUGCGGG